rnacentral:ncRNA from 1 species
AGCGAAGCUGUUUAGAUACUGUAGGAUUAUGCCCAUGAAGCACAGAAAUCCGCAGCCAUGGACGGCUGGGGAAGGCGUUAUGCGCCACGGACGGCGCAUAAAAGCCGGUUUCGUCAAGCAUUGAAAACCCAUAAGGCAUAAUCCGUACAGGAUCUUAACAGCGCAGC